AACGAACGCUGGCGGCAGGCUUAACACAUGCAAGUCGAACGCAUCCUUCGGGGUGAGUGGCAGACGGGUGAGUAACGCGUGGGAAUCUACCCUGAUCUGCGGGAUAGCUCCGGGAAACUGGAAUUAAUACCGCAUAUGUCCUGAGGGACAAAGAUUCAUCGGUUCAGGAUGAGCCCGCGUCCGAUUAGCUAGUUGGUGGGGUAAAGGCCUACCAAGGCGACGAUCGGUAGCUGGUCUAAGAGGAUGAUCAGCCACAUUGGGACUGAGACACGGCCCAAACUCCUACGGGAGGCAGCAGUGGGGAAUAUUGGACAAUGGGAGCAAGCCUGACCCAGCCAGGCCGCGUGAGUGAUGAAGGUCUUAGGAUUGUAAAGCUCUUUCACCGGGGACGAUAAUGACGGUACCCGGAGAAGAAGCCCCGGCUAACUUCGUGCCAGCCGCCGCAGUAA
rnacentral:rRNA from 1 species